rnacentral:rRNA from 1 species
GUAAGGAAUAUUGCGCAAUGGGCGAAAGCCUGACGCAGCAACGCCGCGUGCGGGAUGAAGGCCCUCGGGUUGUAAACCGCUUUCAGUAGGGAAGAAAAUGACGGUACCUACAGAAGAAGCCCCGGCCAACUACGUGCCAGCAGCCGCGGUAACACGUAGGGGGCAAGCGUUGUCCGGAUUCAUUGGGCGUAAAGAGCUCGUAGGCGGUUUCGUAAGUCGGAUGUGAAAACUCCAGGCUCAACUUGGAGACGCCAUUCGAUACUGCGAUGACUAGAGUCCAGUAGGGGAGUGUGGAAUUCCUGGUGUAGCGGUGAAAUGCGCAGAUAUCAGGAGGAACACCAGCGGCGAAGGCGGCACUCUGGGCUGGUACUGACGCUGAGGAGCGAAAGCGUGGGUAGCAAACAGGAUUAGAUACCCUAGUAGUCC